rnacentral:rRNA from 1 species
UCUCGGCUCUCGCAUCGAUGAAGAACGUAGCGAAAUGCGAUACCUGGUGUGAAUUGCAGAAUCCCGCGAACCAUCGAGUCUUUGAACGCAAGUUGCGCCCGAGGCCAUCCGGCGGAGGGCACGCCUGCCUGGGCGUCACGCCAAAAGACGCUCCGCGACCCCUCA